GUUCCCCACUGGAAGCAUGACCCCGAAUGACACGCACAUUGUGGAGGGGAUUAAAGUGUGGAGGGGGUUGAUGCGCAAGGUCUCGGACUAUGAAGGAGGGGUAGAUACAGUAAGAAAUAAAGGGAAAGAGGAAUUUAAAAAAAUUGAACAAACAUUUUGGAGAAAGUGGAGGUCAUGAAAAAAAUAUCUCCCCAUUGCUUCGACAUUUGUCAAGUUACACAAUAUUUUUUUUAAGUUAACAAUUUAGGAUCUUAACAAGAAAACGAAGCUGUGACGUACCAGUGCGGAGAGGAUGGGCAGGAAGACGGUGAGCGUCGCCGGGUUGGAGGCGAACUCCGUGACCGCCGACACCAGCAGGCAGGCGAGCAGGGUGACGGCCCAGGGCGGGAGUCCACUCAUCGGCUCCAGCUGGCGGCCGAUCCACACGGACAAGCCUGACACCUGCACACCGAAAUCACCGGCUGCCAGCGCAUAGCCUCCGCCCACCAGGAUGACGAUCUCCCACGGCAUUAGCCGCUGGAAGUCCUUCCAAGUGAUCAUUGGAGCCAGCGGGUCUGAUGCUGUAAAUACAAAUUGCGAAGGAAUGUCGUGAC